rnacentral:tRNA from 1 species
CUCCAUCUGAGGUCAACUUAUGACCAAAGUUAACGCUAGAAUUUUGAAUGAUUAUAUUAUUAAAAU